CACGUAGGGCGCAAGCGUUGUCCGGAAUUAUUGGGCGUAAAGAGCUCGUAGGCGGUCUGUUGCGUCUGCUGUGAAAACUCGGGGCUUAACCCCGAGCCUGCAGUGGAUACGGGCAGACUAGAGGUAGGUAGGGGAGAAUGGAAUUCCCGGUGUAGCGGUGAAAUGCGCAGAUAUCGGGAGGAACACCGGUGGCGAAGGCGGUUCUCUGGGCCUUACCUGAUGCUGAGGAGCGAAAGCUAGGGGAGCAAACAGG
rnacentral:rRNA from 1 species